UACGAAGGGGGCUAGCGUUGUUCGGAUUUACUGGGCGUAAAGCGCACGUAGGCGGGUUGUUAAGUCAGGGGUGAAAUCCUGGAGCUCAACUCCAGAACUGCCUUUGAUACUGGCAACCUAGAGGCUGGAAGAGGUUAGUGGAAUUCCCAGUGUAGAGGUGAAAUUCGUAGAUAUUGGGAAGAACACCAGUGGCGAAGGCGGCUAACUGGUCCAGAUCUGACGCUGAGGUGCGAAAGCGUGGGGAGCAAACAGG
rnacentral:rRNA from 1 species